UAAUACGUAGUAAUAUUCAUGGCUAUAGUUUGAACUUUUAACGCUUGGGAAGAAAAGAUAUCAAAAUUAAAUAGUCGAAUUCUAGUCUUGAUCAAGGACUAAAAUAUCGAUAAUAUCGACGAAAUAUUGAGGAUAUUAUCGUUUUUCGGGUCAAGAAUAUUUUGGAACAUAUCCAUACACAUAUUGUAUAAGUAUCGAUAAUAUCGGAAAGGCUUUUUAUCACAAAACGUUCCUGACAUUUGUGAAACUAUUAGAUUGCAUCCUUAAAGUUUUUUUGUAUCACUCAUGGUCCCUAACGUUAAUAUGGGUGCUCUUAAAUAGUCCUUCCGUUAAAAAACUGUUAAAUCCAAGAAUAUAAUCGUCAAAUCAAUCAUAUAUAUAUAUAAGUCUAGAAACCUGUAGACUUGUUACAGGAAUUUUGUUUUAAAACCGUCCUAUUGUUUCUAUGGUGCAGAUUUCAAACAACAUUUAAUAACCUGUCUCGCACUCUCGUCCUUCCUCCCUCUUUUCCUCCGUUCUCAUUUCUUCCCCCAUCUAUAUUGCUGAAAUUUCCUUCUUUUUAUUUUUAUUUUUUUCCUUCCAUCUCUCUCUCUCUUCUCUUGCACUUCUCCAUCUCCAGUCCACUAAGUUUCUCCCUCCACAACACUCUCUUCCUUGUUGCUUUUAUCCAUGGCAAUAACAUAACUUUUCCUUCUGUUUUUAUUUUAUUUUUUAUAUAAUGGUUUUGGCUGAGUUCUUAUGCAUUGAUGUAUGACUAAUUUAUGGUUUUGAGUAAGGAAUUGGUUUUUUUUUUUUUUUGGAAAGCCGAAACAAGUUAGGAAAAAAAAAUAGAACAGAAAAGAAAAAAAUAGAAAAGAAAAAAAGAAAAAGGGAGAAAACAGCAAAACAAAAGAACCAGAGCAACAACCCAAAAUGGUGGAAGAGAAAGGAAUAAGAAGGAAAAUAUAGCAACCCAAAUGCUCCCCACCAGAAACACCCAAAGCCCCACAGUCAAAAUCCAAACGCCCAACAAACUCUCCAAUCCCAGAACAAAGCAAACAACUGUGGAGAGGAGAGAAGAAUAGGGAAGGUUAAAGAGAAAGGAAAUUAGAGGGAGAGACAGAGGAGGAACCAUAAGAAAUGGGAGAAGAGAGGAGAUGGAAGGAAAAAAAGAAAACUUAAGCCACGCAGAUGGGGGAAGAAAUGAGAAUGGAAGAAGAAAGGGAGGAAGGAGACAAAGAGUGUGAGAGAAGGGAGGGAGAUGGAAGGAAAAAAAAUAAAAAUAAAAGGAAGGAAAAUUCAACAACACAGAUGUGAGAAGAAUUGAGAAUGGAGGAAGAGAGGGACGAAGGAGAUGGAGAAUCUCCCUCUAGACUUAUAUAUAUUAUAUAAUUUUGGAUUGAUUUGACGAUUAUAUCCCUAAAUUUAAUAUAUAUUUUUUUACAGAGGGACUAUUUAAGAGUACCAAUAUUAAUGUUAGAGACCAUGAGUGAUACAAAAAUACUUUAAGGAUGCAAUCUGAUAGUUUCAUAAACGUUAGGGACGUUUUGUGAUAAAAAAGCCUAUUGAAAAAUAUUGACGUAGAUAAUUUCUCUCACACUUCAGCAACAUUUGGCAAAAAUGUCGCUAUAAUAUCAUUGUAAUAUCGAUAAUAUCGAGAUGAUGAAGACAUUGAAAAAUUUGAAGAGUUAUUUACACUAACACCUCCUGAGGUUUCUUGUGUUUUCACAAAACCUCCCAAGGUCUCAAAAAUUACACGAGCACCCCCUGAAGUUUCAGUUUGUUUUCACUUUCCGUUGAUUGUUUGUCCAAAAAUUGAUGAUUUCAUUAAAAAAAACUUAUGUAAAUGACAAAAUUAACCUCAAUAAAAUAUAUGCAAUCUAAUCUCAAAGGCCAACUGUUUGAGCAAAAUUUUGCACUGGGAAUAUUCGUGGGUUGAUUCCUCGACAUUUGAUCUUCCUUCUUUCUCUUCCUCGAUCCAUGCAAAAUAAAUAAGAGUAAAUAGACCACACCCGCGAGGUGUUGGCCAAAGGCCCUCCGACGCCUAAGUUAGUUCAACUGAAUCUUGAUAAAGAUUUGAUAAGGGGAGAGAGAGAGAGAGAGAGAGAGAGAGGAUUUUUCUAGGGUUUUGAGUGUUGAGAGAGGAAUUUAGAAUUACCUUGAAUGUCUUGUGCAGCCAUGUAUUUAUAGUCUCCUUGUGUGCUAGGGUUUUGGGAGAAUAAUCGUUAUUUGGUUAGGAUUAUUCUUCCCUAAAAAGAUGAUAGGAAUUACUCCAAGAUGUUUGGUGGAAAUUGGUUCCUUGAUUUAGGGAGAUAUUCCUAUAUUAAAUCAAAGGUAAUUUCCUAAUUAAAUAGGAUUUAAUUAAGGUAAUUAGUUUGACCUAAGUAAUAUUCCUUU
rnacentral:lncRNA from 1 species